CUCCUGCUCGUCUCCACGUGUGAAUGAUUCUAAACUGUUGUGUUCCCACGCCUGACGACUGUCCGGUUUGUACUUAUAACCGCACGCGUCCCUCCGUUUACUGUAGAGGUCAAGGCCAACACGUACGAGAAGUACUGGCCAUUUUAUCAGAAAUACGGAGGGCAGACAUUCCCUGAAGAGCACCUGAAGAAGGCCAUUACUGAAAUCGAGGAAAUGUGCAAUAUCCUGCACCACGAGGGCGUCGUCGUGAGGAGACCCGAACCCAUCGACUGGUCCGUCGAGUACAAAACCCCCGACUUCACGUCCACAGGUAUGUAUGCAGCCAUGCCACGGGACAUCCUUCUGGUUGUGGGGAAUGAGAUCAUCGAGGCUCCGAUGGUGUGGAGAGCUCGUUUUUUUGAGUAUCGUGCUUACAGGCCACUCAUUAAAGAAUACUUUAGACACUUUGUAUUUGCACAGAUGU